CCUACGGGCGGCAGCAGUGGGGAAUAUUGCACAAUGGGCGCAAGCCUGAUGCAGCCAUGCCGCGUGUGUGAAGAAGGCCUUCGGGUUGUAAAGCACUUUCAGCGGGGAGGAAGGCGGUGAGGUUAAUAACCUGAUCGAUUGACGUUACCCGCAGAAGAAGCACCGGCUAACUCCGUGCCAGCAGCCGCGGUAAUACGGAGGGUGCAAGCGUUAAUCGGAAUUACUGGGCGUAAAGCGCACGCAGGCGGUUUGUCAAGUCGGAUGUGAAAUCCCCGGGCUCAACCUGGGAACUGCAUUCGAAACUGGCAGGCUAGAGUCUUGUAGAGGGGGGUAGAAUUCCAGGUGUAGCGGUGAAAUGCGUAGAGAUCUGGAGGAAUACCGGUGGCGAAGGCGGCCCCCUGGACAAAGACUGACGCUCAGGUGCGAAAGCGUGGGGAGCAAACAGGAUUAGAUACCCUAGUAGUC
rnacentral:rRNA from 1 species